AGUGAACGCUGGCGGUAGGCCUAACACAUGCAAGUCGAACGGCAGCACAGUAAGAUCUUGCUCUUACGGGUGGCGAGUGGCGGACGGGUGAGGAAUACAUCGGAAUCUACUUUUUCGUGGGGGAUAACGUAGGGAAACUGACGCUAAUACCGCAUACGACCUACGGGUGAAAGCAGUGGAUCUUCGGACCUUUCGCGAUUGAAUGAGCCGAUGUCGGAUUAGCUAGUUGGCGGGGUAAAGGCCCACCAAGGCGACGAUCCGUAGCUGGUCUGAGAGGAUGAUCAGCCACACUGGAACUGAGACACGGUCCAGACUCCUACGGGAGGCAGCAGUGGGGAAUAUUGGACAAUGGGCGAAAGCCUGAUCCAGCAAUACCGCGUGGGUGAAGAAGGCCUUCGGGUUGUAAAGCCCUUUUGUUGGGAAAGAAAAGCAGCAGGUUAAUACCCCGCUGUUCUGACGGUACCCAAAGAAUAAGCACCGGCUAACUUCGUG
rnacentral:rRNA from 1 species